rnacentral:rRNA from 1 species
GACGAACGCUGGCGGCGUGCUUAGCACAUGCAAGUCGACCGGUGAAGCCAAGCUUGCUUGGUGGAUCAGUGGCGAACGGGUGCGUAACAUGUGAGCAACCUGCCCUGGACUCUGGGAUAAGUGCUGGCAACGGUGUCUACUACUGGGUAUGAGCCCCUUCCGCAUGGUGGGGGUUGGAAAGUUUUUUCGGUUGGGGAUGGGCUCGAGGCCUAUCAGCUUGUUGGAGAGGUAAUGGCACAACAAGGCGUAGACGGGUAGCCGGCCUGAGAGGGUGACCGGCCACACUGGGACUGAGACACGGCCCAGACUCCUACGGGAGGCAGCAGUGGGGAAUAUUGCACAAUGGGCGGAAGCCUGAUGCAGCAACGCCGCGUGAGGGAUGACGGCCUUCGGGUUGUAAACCUCUUUUAGCAGGGAAGAAGCUUUUGUGACGGUACCUGCAGAAAAAGCGCCGGCUAACUACGUGCCAGCCGCCGCGGAAA